GGUUGAUCCUGCCAGUAGUUAUAUGCUUGUCUCAAAGACUAAGCCAUGCAUGUCUAAGUAUAAACCAAUUUAUACGGUGAAACUGCGAAUGGCUCAUUAUAUCAGUUAUUGUUUAUUUGAUGAUACCCUACCACUUGGAUAACCGUGGUAAUUCUAGAGCUAAUACAUGCACGAAAUCUCGACUCGUUCGCGGGAAGGGAUGUAUUUAUUAGAUAAAAACCAGCCCGGUACUUGUUGCCGGUUCAACCUGGUGAUUCAUGAUAACUUUGCGAAUCGCAUGACUUUUCGUCGG
rnacentral:rRNA from 1 species